rnacentral:rRNA from 1 species
CCCUUAGAUGUCCUGGGCCGCACGCGCGCUACACUGAUGCAUUCAACGAGUUUUACCUUGGCCGAGAGGCCUGGGCAAUCUUUUGAACGUGCAUCGUGAUAGGGAUAGAUUAUUGCAAUUAUUAAUCUUGAACGAGGAAUUCCUAGUAAACGCAGUUCAUCAAACUGCAUUGAUUACGUCCCUGCCCUUUGUACACACCGCCCGUCGCACCUACCGAUUGGAUGGUCCGGUGAAGCCUCGGGAUUGUGGCGGUUGCCUUUAUUGGUGGCCGCCGCGAGAACUUGUCUAAACCUUAUCAUCUAGAGGAAGGUGAAGUCGUAACA